rnacentral:rRNA from 1 species
GGGGAUAGCUCGGGGAAACUCGAAUUAAUACCGCAUACGACCUACGGGUGAAAGGGGGCGCAAGCUCUUGCUAUUAGAUGAGCCUAAAUCAGAUUAGCUAGUUGGUGAGGUAAAGGCCCACCAAGGCGACGAUCUGUAACUGGUCUGAGAGGAUGAUCAGUCACACCGGAACUGAGACACGGUCCGG